CAAAGAGGGUAGGUUGAUUUUACAACUAAUUGAUCACAACCAGUUCCAGAUUCUUUUGUUCCUUCUCCACUCCCACUGCUUCACUU
rnacentral:sRNA from 1 species